rnacentral:misc_RNA from 1 species
UUCAGUUCUUGGCAUCUGUUCUGAGAGGAAGGCACUGGUAUGAUCAUUUUGCUUCCUUCCCUGUUGGACUCUCUUUCUGAUUAUCUUAUCUGGACUUGAAUUCCAAAUUAGUAGAGCCCUUAUAAGUGCGAAACUAUGUAUGAAUAUUUUUUUUGUUCAGUUUUGUGCUUUGGAAACAGGUAAGAAGGUUAGUAAUCACCCAAGUCAUAGAUGUUGUUGGAAUGAUUCAAGAAACUGAUAUAGCUGUUAGCAUCAAUGGGGUGGAAGGUAUGCAGGUCAGUAGAGUAUCUGAUUCCUGCAUGAAGCAUCUAUACAAUAGCAUUAUCAGCAAUUUUACCUUUUUCUUUGCCCCAUCUUUAACUCUUAUUUUUUGCAUACUAGGAAUUCAAUCUGUUUCUUGGAAAGUGGAAAUAAGGCUUCUCCAUUCCCCUUUCUAUAUGCAUUUUUAUUACUCAUGAUGUCUCAAUCUAAUGGGAUAUAUAAUUAAAUGAUUUUAGACAAGAGGCAUCAUGGUUGUCUGCCAUGUUUAGUUGAAUUACGUAUCAAAAUAUCAUGCUUGAGCUACGCCCAUUUUAAAGGAAAUUGUCUCUGAAGUGUUCUAUCAGUUCCAGUUAGUUUGUUGAGAUAAAUAUUCUGACUUGUUUAACAGGGAAAAGAAAAGCAUCUAGUUUCCCCCCUCUUCUUUAUAUACCAUUGAAGCUUACAGAACUUGAAUAUCCAUUACAGGCUGUGAUGGCCAGUGAUUUCUCAAUUUCCCAGUUUCAGUUCUUGGAAAGACUUCUAGUAGUGCAUGGACACUGGUGCUACAAGAGAAUUGCUCAGAU